UACGUAGGGUGCAAGCGUUGUCCGGAAUUAUCGGGCGUAAAGAGCUCGUAGGCGGUCUGUCGCGUCUGCUGUGAAGUCCCAGGGCUUAACCCUGGGCCUGCAGUGGGUACGGGCAGACUAGAGUGCGGUAGGGGAGAUCGGAAUUCCUGGUGUAGCGGUGAAAUGCGCAGAUAUCAGGAGGAACACCGAUGGCGAAGGCGGAUCUCUGGGCCGUAACUGACGCUGAGGAGCGAAAGCAUGGGUAGCGAACAGG
rnacentral:rRNA from 1 species